CGGAGCCGGUCUGUUCCUCAUUCGUUCGUUCACCCAGAUGACAAGCUAUCUCGGCAGUUGAGAUCUGUCAUCCAAGGAGCAGCAGGUCGCCCUCAGGCUGUCGGGGACUGAUUCCAUCCAUGCUGAUGGGGAUGAGGCCGUGCAGUAUGAGGGAGUGCUGUUCUGUAAUGAUGAAGAACGGAAGCUCCUGCUGGAAGCCAAGCAAUGUGAAGGAGCUGCCUGAAUUGGCACCUUCAUCAUUACAUCUCAUUUCUGGUGCUGGAGAGCUGCAUCCAGGAGCUCAAGCUGCGAAGUGGUAAUAAAGCCC